rnacentral:rRNA from 1 species
GGGGAAAAUUAAAAAUUUAAGUUUAAUAAAAAAAAUUUUAAUAUUAAAAAGAAAAAUGGGGGUUUAAGUAUUUUUAAUAGAAAAAAUUAAUAUUUUUAUAGUUAAAUAUUACUGUAAAGGAAUUUAUAAAUAAAUGAAAUAAAAUUAAUAAUAAAGUAAAUUUAAUUUAUUGUAUCUUGUGUAUCAGAGUUUAUUAAAUAAUAAUAAUUUAUUUAAAUAAAUCUCGAAUUUAAAAGAGUUAAUUAAUUAAUAAAGUUAAUGUUGAAUAAUUAUUUUUAAUAGUUAAUUAGAAAUGAAAUGUUAAUCGUUUUUAAAUAUAUCUAGUUUUUUUAGAAAAAAAUUUAAUUUUAAAUUUAAAUAAUUUUAUAAUUAAUUAAUUAAUUAUAAAAAUUUAAAAUUUAAUAUUUUAGGGGAUAAGCUUUAAAUUAAAAAUUUAUAAUUAAAUUAAAUAAAAAUUAAAAUUUUUAAAAUUUAUAUUGUUUAAAAAUUAUAAUUUAUUAUAAAAAAUUUUAUUUAAAAUAAAAUUUAAUAUAAAAAAAUUUAAAUUUUUAUGAAAAAAUAAUUUAUAAUUUAAUAAAAUUAGAAAUAAUGAUAAAAUUAGUAUAAUACAAAUAAAUAAAAUAAAAAUUUAUAAUUAAGUAAAUUAAAGGAAUUCGGCAAAAAUUUAUAUUCACUUGUUUAUCAAAAACAUGUCUUUUUGUUAAUAAUUUAAAGUCUAAUCUGCCCACUGAUAUAAAUAUUAAAGGGCUGCAGUAUAUUGACUGUACAAAGGUAGCAUAAUCAUUAGUCUUUUAAUUGAAGACUUGUAUGAAAGAUUUGAUGAAAUAUAAACUGUCUCUAAUUUAUGUUUAGAAAUUAAUUUUUUAGUUAAAAAGCUAAAAUAAUAUUAAAAGACGAGAAGACCCUAUAGAGUUUUAUAUUUUAUUUAUUUAAUAUUAAAUAUAUAAUUAAAUAUGUUAAUUAAAUAAAAUAUUAUAUUGGGGUGAUAGAAAAAUUUAAUAAACUUUUUUUAAAAAUAAACAUAAAUAAGUGAAUAAUUGAUCCAUUAAUAAUGAUUAAAAGAAAAAAUUACCUUAGGGAUAACAGCGUAAUAUUUUUUUUUAGUACAAAUAAAAAAAAAAGUUUGCGACCUCGAUGUUGGAUUAAGAUAAAAUUUAAAUGCAAAAGUUUAAAAUUUUGAUCUGUUCGAUCAUUAAAAUCUUACAUGAUCUGAGUUCAAACCGGUGUAAGCCAGGUUGGUUUCUAUCUUUAAUAAAAAAAAAUAUUUUAGUACGAAAGGAUCAAAUAUUUAAAAUAAUUUUAAUUAAAAUGAAUAUUAAUAAUAUGAUAUAU